CAAAUGUGAAAAUCCCCCGAGCUUUAACUUGGGAAUUGCAAUUCGAUACUGGUUAGCUAGAGUAUGGGAGAGGAUGGUAGAAUUCCAGGUGUAGCGGUGAAAUGGUAGAGAUCUGGAGGAAUACCGAUGGCGAAGGCAGCCAUCUGGCCUAAUACUGACACUGAGGUGCGAAAGCAUGGGGAGCAAACAGGAUUAGAUACCCUGGUAGUCCAUGCCGUAAACGAUGUCUACUAGCCGUUGGGGCCCUUGAGGCUUUAGUGGCGCAGCUAACGCGAUAAGUAGACCGCCUGGGGAGUACGGUCGCAAGACUAAAACUCAAAUGAAUUGACGGGGGCCCGCACAAGCGGUGGAGCAUGUGGUUUAAUUCGAUGCAACGCGAAGAACCUUACCUGGCCUUGACAUACAGAGAACUUUCCAGAGAUGGAUUGGUGCCUUCGGGAACUCUGAUACAGGUGCUGCAUGGCUGUCGUCAGCUCGUGUCGUGAGAUGUUGGGUUAAGUCCCGCAACGAGCGCAACCCUUUUCCUUAUUUGCCAGCACUUCGGGUGGGAACUUUAAGGAUACUGCCAGUGACAAACUGGAGGAAGGCGGGGACGACGUCAAGUCAUCAUGGCCCUUACGGCCAGGGCUACACACGUGCUACAAUGGUCGGUACAAAGGGUUGCUACUGCGCGAGCAGAUGCUAAUCUCAAAAAGCCGG
rnacentral:rRNA from 1 species